GUGGGGAAUAUUGGGCAAUGGGCGAAAGCCUGACCCAGCAACGCCGCGUGAAGGAAGAAGGCCCUCGGGUUGUAAACUUCUUUUAAGAGGGACGAAAGAAAUGACGGUACCUCUUGAAUAAGCCACGGCUAACUACGUGCCAGCAGCCGCGGUAAUACGUAGGUGGCGAGCGUUAUCCGGAUUUACUGGGUGUAAAGGGCGUGUAGGCGGGAGUGCAAGUCAGAUGUGAAAAUUAUGGGCUCAACCCAUAACCUGCAUUUGAAACUGUUCUUCUUGAGUGAUGGAGAGGCAGGCGGAAUUCCGUGUGUAGCGGUGAAAUGCGUAGAUAUACGGAGGAACACCAGUGGCGAAGGCGGCCUGCUGGACAUUAACUGACGCUGAGGCGCGAAAGCGUGGGGAGCAAACAGGAUUAGAAACCCUGGUAGUCC
rnacentral:rRNA from 1 species